AUUCCCACUCCCACCUCCCCCAAUGGGAGUCCCACUCCCACUCCCCACUCCCCACUCCAAAAAUGAGUGGGGCCUACGGAGUGGGAUUCCCAAUCCGUGACCAUUUUAAGCAAGUAAACGCUGGAGUGGGAGGAAUCCACACUCCUCACUCCCACUCCAACAAGUAAACACAACCUAAAUUGCUAACCCUACUCUGCCUGCUUCUUAUUGCUAAAUUUCAUAGCAAAUUUCAUCCAAAUUCAAAUCUUAACGUUAAUUGAAUAUCAAGCAAGCCUUUUUACACUUUAGGCUUUUGGGCCCUCAAUGGACCCAACAUGCACUGUUAUAUAAACUCUCAUAUGCAAAAAGUUAACGAGAUUGGCAUCUCUUACGUACCUUUGAAUCAACAAUAAUGGCUUUCAGCCUGUAAAUUUGGUCACUUCCUUUGCAUCCUUUUAUCUUUAACUCUCUUUUCUCAAAGAUGCAAGUACACAAAACGUAUCCAGUUUGCCUGUUUAUACUAAACAUAUUUUAUGCUCUUAAAAAGAGAGUUGGGUCAAAUUCUUGAGAAGCAAAAGAAUUUAGAGCACGCGAUUAAAUUAAUUUAAAGUUCGCACUAUUUAUUCCUUAGCUAGGCUCCUUUUUUGGUUCAAGCAUGAGCGAUUAACGCAAUUAUUUUAUUAGGUUCACUGGAUCAGAAUAUCUGCN
rnacentral:lncRNA from 1 species